rnacentral:rRNA from 1 species
CUCAUAUCUCCCUUUAUCAAUCGUGGUCUCUCUCAAUCUCUCAUGUCUCUCCCUCUCUUAAACUCUCAUAUCUCUCUUCCUCCCUCAUGUCCUUCUUACUACCCACGUGGAAAGCAGAUCGGCAUCUCUCCCAAAAUUGGAGCAAGGAAGUUGGGGCAUGGAAUCUGUGCGCUCGCCCAUCGAUCUUAUCACAUUAGAAAUUGUUUCUAGUUUAGCUCAGGUUCCUCUUCUCACACUGAUUUGCUUUGAAUUUGCUUUUUCUGGUUUAUAAUUGAAUUGACCAAUCAGAUCACCCAGCAUGUGGCAGUAGAGAAUCAGAUUGGGGAUACACUUGGUCAGAAUUGAAGACACCGUCAUUGAUGAUAAGGCCAACCAUCAAACACAUGGAUGAACUGCGCCCUGCCCCUGGACGCAGCUGCAGGUCGCUGUUCAUGACCACCACCACCAAGUUCUACAUAUGGCCGUAUGCUCCACUGCUCUAAGAUGAUGUUGCCCUUUUCAGUUGUAUUUCAGUAGUAGAUCUGUAGUUACGUUCACGCACUACUUACUAGCGCUACUAGUAGAAAAGGGGGCAUUUGUCCCGGUUCGUAAGGGCCUUUAGUCCCUAUUCAUGAACUGGGACUAAUGGAUCGUUAUUAAUACCUCCCCCUUUAGUCCCGGUUCUAACACAAACCGGGACAAAUGGUCCUCCACGUGGCCGGUGCGCCGAGCCCAGGCAGGGGGCCUUUGGUCCCGGUUGGUGGCACCAACCGGGACCAAAAGGCGAUGUUUUUCUUUUUUUUAAAGAAAAAAUGGCUGCUUUAGGGGUUUUGGGGGUUAUAUUUAGGUUGUUAUUAGCUAGCUAAUAGAGAGAAGUGUCCUCUCUUAUAUCUUCGUCUUUGGUUUACCAACGCUGCUGCUAUGUUCAUUUCACCCGCUGAUAUAAUAACUCAUGCAUGCUCGCAUCAUACAUCAUAAUAUAUAAUAACAAGUCCUACUAAUCAUG